CAGUCUGAGCAGCACAUGAAGUUGUCUUCUUCUCUGAAGUUGUCUUCUUCUCUAGAAAGUAUCUCCACAGUGUCUCCAAUGAUGCAGAUGGGAAGAGCACACAU